rnacentral:rRNA from 2 species
GAACGCGGGCGGUGUGCGUAAUACGUGCAAGUCGAACGCGUUGGCCCAAUUGAUUGAGGGUGCUUGCACCUGAUUGAUUUUGGUCGCCAACGAGUGGCGGACGGGUGAGUAACACGUAGGUAACCUGCCCAGAAGCGGGGGACAACAUUUGGAAACAGAUGCUAAUACCGCAUAACAACGUUGUUCGCAUGAACAACGCUGAAAAGAUGGCUUCUCGCUAUCACUUCUGGAUGGACCUGCGGUGCAUUAGCUUGUUGGUGGGGUAACGGCCUACCAAGGCGAUGAUGCAUAGCCGAGUUGAGAGACUGAUCGGCCACAAUGGGACUGAGACACGGCCCAAACUCCUACGGGAGGCAGCACUAGGGAAUCUUCCACAAUGGGCGCAAGCCUGAUGGAGCAACACCGCGUGAGUGAAGAAGGGUUUCGGCUCGUAAAACUCUGUUGUUAAAGAAGAACACGUAUGAGAUUAACUGUUCAUACGUUGACGGUAUUUAACCAGAAAGCCACGGCUAACUACGUGCCAGCAGCCGCGGUAAUACGUAGGUGGCAAGCGUUAUCCGGAUUUAUUGGGCGUAAAGAGAGUGCAGGCGGUUUUCUAAGUCUGAUGUGAAAGCCUUCGGCUUAACCGGAGAAGUGCAUCGGAAACUGGAUAACUUGAGUGCAGAAGAGGGUAGUGGAACUC